rnacentral:rRNA from 1 species
CUCACCUCUUACCAUUCCGAACAGAGAAGUUAAGCCCGAUUGCGCCGAUGGUACUACAUUCGUGGGAGAGUAGGUCGUCGCCUUUU